rnacentral:rRNA from 1 species
GGAUUCCCCUAGUAACGGCGAGUGAAGCGGGAUGAGCUCAAGCUUAAAAUCUCCGUGCACGUUGUGCAUGGCGAAUUGUAGUCUAUAGAUGCGUGAUCAGUGCGACCGCUCGGGGUAAGUUCCUUGGAAGAGGACAGCAUCGAGGGUGAUACUCCCGUUUGUACCUGAGUGUGUUGUGCGUACGAUCCGUWUUCUUUGAGUCGCGUUGUUUGGGAAUGCAGCGCAAAGUAGGUGGUAAAUUCCAUCUAAAGCUAAAUAUUGGUGCGAGACCGAUAGCGAACAAGUACCGUGAGGGAAAGAUGAAAAGAACUUUGAAAAGAGAGUUAAAGAGUACCUGAAACUGCUGAAAGGGAACCGAAUCGUCUCCAGUGUUCUAUAAUCUGCGGCAUAUUUCAUUGGCGAGCGUGUGUGUGCGGCGCUUUUGGCAGCGGCUUAAUUGCUGCSCUUGGUGUUGCUUGUGCUUGUGCUUGCUGGUGCCCUGUGCUGYGGUGGGACGUCAAGGUCAGUUCGUAUGCUGCGGGAAAUGACUGCCGAGGAGGUAGGGCUUACMCUCYGUGUUUKUCUGUUAUWUCUUGGCGGACGUAGUAGUCGCGGUUGGGACUGAGGUGUUCUACAACGUGCUUUUGAGUGUGCGGGUGUCUCGGUGUGCGUGCUGUGCGUAUAGCUUGCUAUGUGCGCGGUUUUUUWGCGUGUCGAUUGAUGCCUGCGGUAACUUGUCGCCGUUCGGGACUUUGACGAAAUGGAGCGAUCCGACCCGUCUUGAAACACGGACCAAGGAGUCUAACAUGUGUGCAAGUGUUAGGGUGUGGAAACCCCAGCGCGCAAUGAAAGUAAAGGACAGCGURAGUUGUCUGAGGUAGGAAACUCUGGGCUCUCGGGCUCCGGGGUGGCACUAUCGACCGAUCAUGACCCCUCGUGGCGAAAGAUUUGAGUUUGAGCACAUAUGUUGGUACCCGAAAGAUGGUGAACUAUGCCUGAGUAGGGUGAAGCCAGGGGAAACUCUGGUGGAAGCUCGUAGCGAUUCUGACGUGCAAAUCGAUCGUCAAACUUGGGUAUAGGGGCGAAAGACUAAUCGAACCAUCUAGUAGCUGGUUCCCUCCGAAAUUUCCCUCAGGAUAGCAGCAACUUAUUUACGAUAGUUUUAUGAGGUAAAGCGAAUGAUUAGAGGAUUCGGGGAAGUAACUUYCUCGACCUAUUCUCAAACUUUAAAUCUGUAAGACCUGCAGGUUUCUUAAUUGAACUUGCGGAUGUGAAUAUCAAGUUGCUAGUGGGCCAUACGGGGUAAGCUCGUCUGGCGAUGCGGGAUGAACCGAACGCAAAGUUAAAGUGCCAAAAUGCCCGCUCACCUAGAUACCAUAAAAGGUGUUGGUUCAUUUAGACAGCAGGACGGUGGCCAUGGAAGUCGGA